rnacentral:rRNA from 1 species
AAUAAAAAUUAUGAAAGCAAAAAAUUAUGGCGGUAUUUUAAGCUUUUCAGAGGAAUUUGCUCUUUAAUGGAUAAAACACCUAAAUCUUACUUAAAUUUGUUAAUUCAAUUUGUAUACCACUAUAAAAACAAUUUAUAACUUUAAUUGUUUAAAUUUAUUAAAUUAAAAUAUAUUAAGUCAAGGUGCAGUAAAAAUUUAAGAAUGAAGUGAAUUACAUUACUCUUUAGAGAAAUAAAUUUAAAAUAAUAUUUAGGAUUUGAAAGUAAAAUUAAAAUAGAAUG